rnacentral:rRNA from 1 species
UACGUAGGGAGCAAGCGUUGUCCGGAAUCAUUGGGCGUAAAGCGCGCGUAGGCGGCCUCGUAAGUCCGUUGUGAAAGUCAAAGGCUCAACCUUUGAAAGCCGAUGGAUACUGUGAGGCUAGAGUCCGGAAGAGGCGAGUGGAAUUCCUGGUGUAGCGGUGGAAUGCGCAGAUAUCAGGAGGAACACCAACGGCGAAAGCACUCUGCUGGGCCGACACUGACACUGAGAGACGAAAGCUAGGGGAGCGAAUGGG